CCUACGGGAGGCAGCAGUGAGGAAUAUUGCGCAAUGGGGGCAACCCUGACGCAGUGACGCCGCGUGAGUGAUGAAGGCUUUCGAGUUGUAAAGCUCUGUUAGGUGGAAAGAAACACUCCAGCGCUAAUAUCGCUGGGGCCUGACGGUACCACCAGAGGAAGCACCGGCCAACUCCGUGCCAGCAGCCGCGGUAAUACGGAGGGUGCAAGCGUUGUUCGGAUUUACUGGGCGUAAAGGGCGUGUAGGCGGUUGGCUAAGUCAGAUGUGAAAGCCCUUGGCUUAACCAAGGAAGAGCAUUUGAAACUGGCUAACUAGAGUACAGGAGAGGAAAGUGGAAUUCCCAGUGUAGAGGUGAAAUUCAUAGAUAUUGGGAGGAACACCGGUAGCGAAGGCGGCUUUCUGGUCUGAUACUGACGCUGAGACGCGAAAGCGUGGGGAGCAAACAGGAUCAGAUACCCUGGUAGUCCGCGCCAUAAACUAUGGACACUAGGUAUAGGGAGUAUCGACCCUUUCUGUGCCGAAGCUAACGCUUUAAGUGUCCCGCCUGGGAAGUACGGCCGCAAGGCUAAAACUCAAAGGAAUUGACGG
rnacentral:rRNA from 1 species